UGUAUUGCUUUCUGAAGAUGACACUGUAUACGAAGGAGAAUUUUCAGAUAAUUGGACCCUUAAUGGAAAGGGAACACUGACUUUGCCAAAUGGAGAUACUAUUGAAGGCACUUUCAGUGGUGAAUGGGGAUCUGGAAUAAAGAUUACAGGAAAUUACUUCAAACCCACUUUAUAUGAUCAUGAGAAGGAUCGGCCUAAAACACUGCGGAAGUUAGGAAGCCUUGCUGUUCCGGCGGAUGAGAAGUGGAGGGCUGUGUUCGAGGACUGCUGGCACCAGCUCGGCUGUGAACAGCCAGGCCAAGGGGAUAGGUGGAAAGCUUGGGAUAACAUUGCUGUUGCCCUGACAACCAAUCGAAGGCAACAC